CGCCGCUCCAGGGGAGCUGUGGCCGGUGGGGCAGAGCGCGGCGCGGGCCUCGGGACCGCUCCACAUGGGGGACGUGCACGAGGGGCCGCGGCCCCGCAUCGCCACCAGCCACUUAGCGCAGCACCUCGGGCAGCCGGUUUGCUUCGUGGGCCGAGGGGAGGAGGUAGCGGGACCCCCUGCCCCCGCCGCUAGCCGCUCCCUCACACAGCCCCCUCUUUUGUAUUCCAGUCUCUGGCUCCCAAUCAGCACCUAGUCCAGUAAAGUGAGAAGUUACUUAAAACUCCAGUCGCUAAACACAAUGUUCUUCUCUGACCCCUAAGGGGCCAGCCACGUGACCAGAUCGCUACUUGUCCGGAUCAAAAUACCGCACCGCCAGCCAGUCCUUUAGUUUCUAAAAUCAAAGAUUUAUUGAAAAAGAAAAGAAAACGAGAGGAGAGGUGUUAUAUUGGCAAAGCAAUCAGAUACAUACAUAUGACUUCUGACAUGAACUCUGGUUGUUCGCAGCACUGGUGAGUUUGCUGUCUUGUAAAGUCUGUCUGGAACACGUGGAAAGCUUAGAUGGGUCUAUCAGUCCUUUGUUCAGAGCUUGAAUUUGGAAAGAAGUUUCUCCAGAGGAAAGAAGCAGGACUGAAGAUGAAAUGGAGGUCAAAAUGAAAAGACAAAAACCAACAGUUUUUCCACUCAAAGGCCUCAAAAGACAACCAAGAUGAAGAACAUACCAAGAACUAAGAAUAUGCCAACAUGUUAUCUGAAGGUUCUAGUGGUGUAUCUACAUCUGAACAGCCCGAAGCACGAAUACAGCUAUCUACUAAAGAAACAGUGUCUCCACAAUCUAAAGGCAGUUCUUGAUGUUUGUCAGUCAAACUUUUCCCAUUUAUUGAAGUUACAAAAGAUGGUUACUGGGUGUACCUCUUGCAAAAAAGAAGGAAAGCUUCCCACUGUUACAGUUGGUAAAACUGGAGGAGCUUGGUUUGCCAAACUGAUCAGCAAAGCCAAUGCUGACAAACUAUGUGAAAAGGCUGCAAAACACCAAGCCUCUGGAGUGCACUGACAUGCAGGAAGCCUUAUAAACAACAUGGCUGUCGUAUCAUACUUUCUAUUUAACCAAAAGAUACCACACACUACAAACUGGAGGCUAAUAUUAAGUUCAUUGUCACUUGUUAGCCCUGAAGUUGGACACUGGUUCCAAACAAGACUAGCAAAUGCUCGCUAUCUUUCUGCAAGAAACUCAACUGACUGGUUAGAAGCAUGUGAUGCAACAAUGAAAGACUCAGCAGUUGAAAAAGUGAAGCACUCUCUCACCACAUUCAGAAAAUGUACAUCCCUGGCUGAUGAAUGCACCAAUGCAAAUGGGCGUCAAGCAUUAAAUCAUUGCGUAUGUUAUCUUGAUGACAGUGGUAGGCCAGUAGAUACGUUUCUAGAUGUUCAGGUUAUAGAAGACACAUUGGCUGCAUCUGUGACAACCCACAUCUUAGAAGAAUUAAAUGCUUGUAAAUUGGACCCCAAACAGAUGACAUACAUUUGAUGGAGCUGCAAACUUAUCUGGAAGACAUGGAGAAUAAGCUUUGCUCAGAGAAAAGUGUAACGCUAAUCUCUCCUAUACACACUGCAAAGGACAUCUACUCCAACUCGCACUAGUACGAGCUGCAGAAUCUUCAAAAGACAUUUAAAAAGCCAUACAUUUAGUGUCUUUGCUACAGACUUUUUUCAAGAAGAGUCCAAAAAGACUGAACAUCAUGGAAAAAAUAGAUGAUGCUCUGGAACUGAAGUUUAAAUUAAUCCAAUCUGCGAAAAACCCCUGGCUUUCUCAUGAGCAAUCCUUGACUGUUGUCUUAAAAUUACUGCAACCAUUAUUGCUGGCUUUGGAAAGCAUCUACCAAGAUGGAAUGGAUCUAAGUAGUAAGGUUGGUGGACUAUUUUUACUACUACGUUCAGAGAAGACAAUCACCAUUCUCUCUCUUGUAAGUCUACUGUUGAAACCACGUGGUCAUUAAACAAUGUCAUCCAGGCAUCCGCUAUACAGUAGUAGAUCUUUGUCCAGCAAUACAAGCUACACUUGAAUCAAUCAGAGAGAUAUCAAUUAAAAAUGUACUCGAAUAUGCAAAGACUUCAGUCCAAAAGUUGACCAAUGAAGGCACUUACAUUGAAUCCUUAAGUGAAGAUGACAAAGAAAUGUUUGUUAAGCCAGCUGAAAAAGUACACAGACUUAAUUCUUACAAAUCUACAACAGCAACUUCUGGAUUCUACUCAGUCUCUGUGUAGCAUUUACAGAUGCCUAUCUUAUAAAACAUGGACAGCUGAGUGGAGUGAGGCACUACCAGCAAUGGGGCUGCGAUGUGAUCAGAACAGAAUAGAGAAUUUGAACCCACAGUGGAAUGUCAUACGACUAAUGAAUGAAGAUUUGAUUUCAACUUUUUCUUUUUUAAUAUCACUAGUGGCUCACCCUGAUCUUUCUGCCCUCCCAGUUUAACAGUACUGGGCUGUCACAUUCCAAGAAAGAGGACGCCCAGUCUAAUGCUUCCCUUGACUGCAAGCGGAUAACCAGGCUCACUUUUGUGUGAACAGUAGCAUAGAACUGAGGGUGCAUCAUGAACAGGAGGUGGCACUAUAAAAUCCUGGAAUCACUAAUGAUUUACCAUCACACCAUUCUGGCAGUGGUAUCGGGGAACAGGGUUGUGCAAGCCAUGUCUUAAAUGCCGUAUUUUUUAGCCUGCAACUGCAUGACUUGCUCCUGCAAUAGCUGGUUCUCCAAGGUCAGCUGGACAAUAUGGGCCUGUGACCGGUUCGGGACUGUCACCUGACGUGUUGGAAUUACCUCUGAGCCCAUUUUCCACUGCCAACUUAGGACUCCAGAACCCUGCCUUGUUGACCCAGACAUACUAGUCUGCUGCAACACAGUCCCAGGUCUGGUCCACACCCCCAAAGCUGCAGACUUUAACCAAAAACUGCUCAGCAAGUCACUUAUCUCCAGCAUCCAGACACCCAGUUCCCAGUGGGAUCCAAACACCAAAUAAAUCCAUUUUACUCGGUAUAAAGCUUAUACAGGGUAAAAUCAUAAAUUGUCCGCCCUCUAUAGCACUGAUAGAGAGAUAUGCACUGCUGUUUGUUCCCACAGGUGUUAAUCACUUACUCUGGGUUAAUUAAUAAACAAAAGUGAUUUUAUUAAGUAUAAAAAGUAGGAUUUAAGUGGUUUCAAGUAAUAACAGACAGAACAAAGUAAGUUACCAAGCAAAAUAAAACAAAACAAGCAAGUCUAAGCCUAAUAUAAUUAAGAAACUGAAUACUGGAAAAUCUCACCCUCAGAGAUGUUCCAAUAAUCUUCUUUCACAGACUAGACUCCUUCCUAGUCUGGGCCCAAUCCUUUCCCCGGUACAGUUCUCGUUAGUUCCAGCUCAGGUGGUAACUAGGGGAUUUCUCGUGACUGGCAGCCCCUUUGUUCUGUCUGCCCCUCCCUCCCGCCCUUUUAUGGCUUCGGCACAAGGAGGAAAUCUUUUGUCUCUCUGGGUCCCCACCCCUCCUUCUAAAUGGAAAAGCACCAGGUUUAAGAUGGAUUCCAGUACCAGGUGACAUGGUCAGAUGUCCUGUGAGACCCCAAGCCUCCAUUCUUUCCAGCCUGACUCACAUAAACACAGGAAGGCUUACAAGUAAACAGAGCCAUUUACAACCAAUUGGCCUGGUUAAUGGGAGCCAUCAAGAUUCUAAACCACCAUUAAUGGCCGACACUUUGCAUAGUUGUAAUAGGACUUCAGAGUAAUACUUCAUAUUUCUAGCUUCAUAUACAAGAAUGAUACAUUCAUAAAGAUAGGAUGAACACACUCAGUAGAUUUCAGAGUAGCAGCCGUGUUAGUCUGUAUCCACAAAAAGAACAGGAGUACUUGUGGCACCUUAGAGACUAACAAAUUUAUUAGAGCAUAAGCUUUCGUGGAUUACUGAGUGGCCAGAGAGGUUGAAGUGUUCUCCUACCCGUUUUUGAAUGUUAUGAUUCCUGAUGUCAGAUUUCUGUCCAUUUAUUCUUUUGCAUAGAGACUGUCCGGUUUGGCCAAUGUACAUGGCAGACGGGCAUUGCUGGCACAUGAUGGCAUAUAUCACAUUGGUAGAUGUGCAGGUGAACGAGCCCCUGAUGGCAUGGCUAAUGUGAUUAGGUCCUAUGAUGGUGUCACUUGAAUAAAUAUGUGGACAGAGUUGGCAUCAGGCUUUGUUGCAAGGAUAGGUUCCUGGGUUAGUGUUUUUGUUGUGUGGUGUGUGGUUGCUGGAGAGUAUUUGCUUCAAGUUGGGGGGCUGUCUGUAAGUGAGGACUGGUCUGUCUCCCAAGAUCUCUGAGAGUGAGGGAUCAUUUUUCAGGAUAGGUUGUAAAUCUUUGAUGAUGCGUUACUGAGUGGCCAGAGAUGUUGAAGUGUUCUCCUACUGGUUUUUGAAUGUUAUGAUUCCUGAUGUCAGUAGAUUGUAAGCUUUGUAAUAAGAAAAGGAGUACUUGUGGCACCUUAGAGACUAACCAGUUUAUUUGAGCAUAAGCUUUCCUGAGUUACAGCUCACUUCAUCAGAUGCAUCGGAUGCAGUGAGAUGAAACUUUAAAUCAGCCUGCUGUAAUGGACUGAGCUCUCAAAUUAAUUUUCAGACUAUUUAUUUUGUGCAUCUGAAUAAAAAAAACAAAGUUUUG